ACCAGGAUGGCUGAGGGGUGAAGGUGUUGGGGUUGAGACCCAAUGAGCAUCUGCUGAAGUGGCUUUGAACUCCACUCCUGGUA